rnacentral:rRNA from 1 species
AGAUUGAACGCUGGCGGCAUGCCUAACACAUGCAAGUCGAACGGCAGCAUGACCUAGCUUGCUAGGUUGAUGGCGAGUGGCGGACGGGUGAGUAAUGCAUCGGGACCUACCCAGACGUGGGGGAUAACGUAGGGAAACUUACGCUAAUACCGCAUACGUCCUACGGGAGAAAGCGGGGGAUCUUCGGACCUCGCGCGGUUGGACGGACCGAUGUGCGAUUAGCUAGUUGAUAAGGUAAUGGCUUACCAAGGCGACGAUCGCUAGC